rnacentral:rRNA from 1 species
UACGUAGGGUGCGAGCGUUGUCCGGAAUUAUUGGGCGUAAAGAGCUUGUAGGCGGUUUGUCGCGUCUGCCGUGAAAAUCCGGGGCUCAACCCCGGACUUGCGGUGGGUACGGGCAGGCUUGAGUUCGGUAGGGGAGACGUGGAACUUCCUGGUGUAGCGGUGAAAUGCGCAGAUAUCAGGAGGAACACCGGUGGCGAAGGCGCUCAUCUGGCCCAAUACUGACGCUGAGGCGCGAAAGCUAGGGGAGCAAACGGG